rnacentral:rRNA from 1 species
UACGGAGGGUGCAAGCGUUACUCGGAAUCACUGGGCGUAAAGAGCGCGUAGGCGGGAUAAUAAGUCAGAUGUGAAAUCCUGUAGCUUAACCACGGAACUGCAUUUGAAACUGUUAUUCUUGAGUAUGGGAGAGGUAGGUGGAAUUCCUGGUGUAGAGGUGAAAUCCGUAGAGAUCAGGAGGAAUACUAAUUGCGAAGGCGACCUACUGGACCAUUACUGACGCUGAGGCGCGAAAGCGUGGGGAGCAAACAGG